GGAUUUGAGGGCAACCUGGCUGGGACAUCUGUCACCCUAUUGAUUGCCAGGGUUGAUUCGGCUGAUCUGGCUGGCUAGGCGGGUAUUCCAUUCUUCCCUCACCACUCCUUGUGUGUCCCUUCUGAAACUGCACGCUUGGUCAAAGAGGAUGGCCUUCUCUGAAUAGUGAUGGACUGGUCUUUGAUUGAGGGUAUAAAAGUAGCUGUGCUCCCCUGCUAGAACCUCAAAACAAGCCCUCAAGGUCCAAAAGGCCGAGAAACACAUGAAAAAAUGCUCCAAGUCUCUGACUGUCAGAGAAAU
ensembl:misc_RNA 7SK 7SK RNA